UACGUAGGUGACAAGCGUUGUCCGGAUUUACUGGGCGUAAAGAGCGCGCAGGCGGUCGAUCAAGUCGAGUGUGAAAGCCCCCGGCUCAACUGGGGAGGGUCAUUCGAUACUGAUCGACUCGAAGGCAGGAGAGGGUAGUGGAAUUCCCGGUGUAGUGGUGAAAUGCGUAGAUAUCGGGAGGAAGACCAGUGGCGAAGGCGGGUCUCUGGACAGUUCCUGACGCUGAGGCGCGAAGGCCAGGGGAGCAAACGGG
rnacentral:rRNA from 1 species